rnacentral:rRNA from 1 species
AGGAAUUUUCGGCAAUGGAGGAAACUCUGACCGAGCAACGCCGCGUGAACGAUGAAGUAUUUAGGUACGUAAAGUUCUUUUAUUAAAGAAGAAAAAAUGAUGGAAAAAUCAUUCUGACGGUAUUUAAUGAAUAAGCCCCGGCUAACUAUGUGCCAGCAGCUGCGGUAAUACAUGGGGGGCAAGCGUUAUCCGGAUUUAUUGGGCGUAAAGGGUGCGUAGGCGGUUAAAUAAGUCUAUGGUAUAAGUUCAACGCUUAACGUUG